UACAGAGGGUGCGAGCGUUGUUCGGAAUUAUUGGGCGUAAAGGGCGCGUAGGCGGCGCGGUAUGUCACCUGUGAAAUCUCCUGGCUCAACUGGGAGCUUGCAGGCGAAACUGCCGUGCUGGAGUGUGGGAGAGGUGCGUGGAAUUCCGGUGUAGCGGUGAAAUGCGUAGAUAAUCGUCUGGAACGCCAAAGGUGAAAACGAGC
rnacentral:rRNA from 1 species